GAGCAAAACCCUCUCCUCCAAACCUUUACCUCUGAUCUCCCGCUGCUGGGCCGCAAACCGACCCCUCACCCCAGCGAAGCCGGUGGCAGAUGUGUGACAGUCUCUCCCAAAUGCUCAGCACGGGCAACAGGAAACCACCCAGCCUUCAUUUUUGCUUGUUGCCUGGCCUGGUCUGCAGAGGCCUCUGCAUGGGCUAUUAAAAUGCCUUCUCUUUUUUUCUUGUCUCUACCUCCCUCUGCACCUGCUUUUCCUCUUUAUCUCUUUUCCUCUCAUUGCCUUUUGUCUUCCCGUGUUUAUUUUCUUUUGUCCUCUCUUCUCUUAUCCCACUUCAAAUCUUUGUCACAUUAUUUCUCACUGUGCCAUUUCCAUCAGUUCUCUCUUCCCUCCUUUCCCUCUUUAAUUUUUACUCCCUGCCCUUCCCUGUCAGCUUUUUCCAUUUCACCCUUUGCCAAUUCAAGUAUAGAUCAGUCAGAUUGCACUUAUUUUUUGGAUAGUUUUGUAUUCAGUCCAAGGCAGUUAAAUCUUACAUGAAGGAUUUCACUAUGUGUUUCAGUGACACACUUGAACUCUCAUCCGUGCUUCUGUGAUAUCCCCCACUAUUCACAGUGUCUCAACUUGAAAGUUUGGAGAAGAAGCAGAUAUCCAUCACAAAAAACUACAAAAAAGAACAGAUGGCCUAGUGAUAUGAAACUAUGUGUAAUGAACUGUACCAGCACUGAGGAAGAGUUUUAUACAAUUGCACUUUAACAUGGAUUUCAAAUUUGCUCAUCGACUUUAAACAGCUCCCACUCUCCAUUGCCGUUUAAAGAACAGUCAGACUGGGCAAUAUUCUCCACUAUAAUGCAGUCAUCCUCGUUGACAUCAUGGUCUCCUUCGAGAACAGGACCCUGGCCUUCCGUGAAUCCCGAGCUCGUAAGCUGGAAAAAUAGGCCCCCCGGCCGACACCCUGAGAGCGAAGGGCUACGAGGUGCAGAUGAAUGCCCUACUUGUCGGAGCCCUGGGCGCUUGGGACCCCUGCAAUGAGUGUGUGCUGCGGACCUGUGGGAUCGGUCGACGCUACGCAUGGCUCAUGUGGCGGCUCAUGGUCUCGGACACCAUCCGAUAGUCCAGGGACAUCUACAUCGAACACAUCACCAGCCACCGACAGUACCAGGAGGUGUGAGCCAGUACGACAUCAUGCAUCAACUAUGGGAAAGGGACUGAGAGACUUUUUCCAUUGGACCAUAUGAACUGGAACCAUAAACUCACUGAACAUUAAAUCCCACCAAAUGAGGAUAGAUCCAUCUUCGUCAUCGUAUCCGCUCAUUAUAUUCCACACACCUGAAUAUAGCCAUUAUAUGGACAACAUACCUCCAUAGCUCAAUGUCUGUACUUUGACCCGUUAAACUUUUACCCCCAAUCGGGGAGAUUGCAGAUUAUGUAUUCCUUACGGCACCCGCUCCUAAACAAAUUUCGCACCCCUUGAUAAUCUGUGCCUUAUUGCCUGAUAACCAGAAACUUCUAUGCCGAAACUCUGUACUGUUUUAUUUUUACUUCAACAUCAUCUUAAUAAAAUUAUUAAAUAUGACCUUAAAGAUGGUUUAACGGUCAAGGGAAGAUCACAGUUUAAGAAGAAAUCUCCAAAUGCAUGUAGCCUGUGUAGGAGUUUUUUUAUUCUCUUCUUCACCCAGCUGUCAGUCUAUUGGGGUGGGGGGAAGAAUGUGUAACUGGGGAAAAGGGUGCCUGGCCAGAACACCAAUCCUCAGCGGCUUUUCAGCAAAAUGUAAAAUAGGACAGCCCUCAUGCAGCUUUCGACUGAAACGAUGCAGGAGGGUCAAUCCUGCACAGAGCUGCAGGAAAUUUAAGACACCUGUAAACAGGCACCCCUGACUGAUGCUCGUGCAGCUCAUCAGAACCCCAGGAUCUGGCUCUAGUCAUACAGUUUGCAAUUGAAAAUAAAUGUAGAGAGUAGCAAAGCUGGUCUGAUGGAAGCCAUUUGCUGCAACCUUGGAUCUCUGUAGCCUGGUAAAGCAGAAGUUUUUUAUUUGAGCCCUGGCAUGCUUAGUUUUGACUUAGAGUGCAACAUGGUUAUUAUGUGUCUAUAUUUAACCACAGUGGUUUUUGCAGUAGUGUUGCUGUGGUUUUUCUUUCAUAUUGCACACAUGCAACAGUGGAAUACAUAAAACAUUCUCAUUCCCAAAAGAAAUUUAAUUUUGCAGCAAUAAUUAAAUAGGAAGCUGCCACUAGAAAUUCCUGGCAGUUUUACAAAGUGGGAUGCAGCUCUGCUUUUGAAUGCAAGGGAAAGGCAGAGGACUAUCCAAGUAGCUAUACUUCACGUUGUCCAGAAAAGGUGUAUACUGUGUUCAUCAGAGUUUUUCCCUCUUCUACUCUCUCAGCUUCUGAUCGCUCCUUUUUUGCCUUCCCCCAACACAAUGGAACUUCUUAGUCCUCUGACAAAAGCCAUCCAGUUGGCUACCAGCCUCGCACUGUCAACCACUCCUCUGUGCUAUUGAUCAUCAGUCUUUAUUGGAGAUCCCUGAGAGAUCGGUCAGCUUCUGGGAAUGACAGAGGGGACCUUAACUUGGAGCCCAACUUGUGUUUGUGUUUAUGAACAGAUAUAUCAGUGCCCUACCCCUUCAGUGGUUGAGAAUAGUCCGUCACAGACUCUCCCCUACUAGAAGUAGGGAGUCCUAUUCCACGAUACUCCUUUGUUUGGGGGAGGGGGCAAGAGGAUCCCAGUCUGAAAGUCCCUUAUGUGGCAUUCAAAUAGCAUGGAAGGCAAUUUGGACCCCAUUCAGGGGUGUUUCAUGGUAGACCCCUGAAUUUCCUGUACUUAUGUUUUUUCACUCACUUCUUGAUCAAUUUGACACUAAUGUUUCAGUACUCUAUGAAUAGGAAAGUGUUGGCCUCUGACUCCCAAGGCUCCAAACCAGAAGAAAUAAAAACAUGACACUAAUGGAGUUUUCUUGUUCUCAUUUCAGGAAAAGACCAUCUCUGACUUAGAGGCAUUUAGCUUCAAAUCCAUUAGUCUCUUUGAGCUUUGGUCAGGGAAUUAUGUAGUUCCUCUCAUUCCUUCUUCAUUAAAACAUACCUCCCCUGCACAUGCUGGAGGACUUGGCUGAGGUACUUGUGUCUGUAGCAUGUUUUGCUGUGCUAAUAUCUUCCUCUCAAAAACAAAUGACAAAUACGUGUGAGAAUGUAAUCUAGGCAUAAGUUUUCUGUAUAUCACUAUGCAAGUGCUUAUAAUCUUAAUGGUUCAUAUACCACAUAAUAAAUGAUUCCAUAGUAGAAUUCAAAUGUUCAUAAGGUUUCUUUUAACUAAUGUUGGCUCUGGAAUGUCAAAAU